CAAAAUUGUCAAUAUCCUGGAUGCAACAAUAUACUAUAGAGUUUCAAAAUGUUACCAUUGGAAGAAACUGGGAAAAGUAUACAAAGGAUCUUUAUUAUUUCCUACAACUGCAGAACCCCAGUCUAAUCAUGAGAGAACAUCAGACAGAUUCCAACUCAAGGACAUUCUACAAAAUACCUGACUGGCACUUCUUAUAACUGUCAGGGUCUUCAAAGACAAGGAAAGACUAAGAAGCUGCCACAGCCAAGAGGAGCCUCAGAAGACGUGUUGACAAAACGUAAUGUGGGACUGUGGGACAGAUAAAAGACAUUAGAGAAAAGCUAAGGAAGGCCGAAAGAAUGUGGAAGGCAGCUACUAAUAACGCGUCAACACUGGCUCCUGAGUUGUGCUGUCCGUACUGCACACUGCGGUUACCAUCACGGGAAACUGGGCGCGGGUUGUGUGGGAACUCUGUAUCACCU
rnacentral:lncRNA from 1 species